CCUACGGGUGGCAGCAGUGGGGAAUAUUGGACAAUGGGGGGAACCCUGAUCCAGCCAUGCCGCGUGUGUGAAGAAGGCCCUCGGGUUGUAAAGCACUUUCAGUGAGGAAGAACGCCUGGUGGUUAAUACCCAUCAGGAAAGACAUCUCUCACAGAAGAAGCACCGGCUAACUCCGUGCCAGCAGCCGCGGUAAUACGGAGGGUGCGAGCGUUAAUCGGAAUUACUGGGCGUAAAGCGCGCGUAGGUGGCUUGAUAAGCCGGUUGUGAAAGCCCCGGGCUCAACCUGGGAACGGCAUCCGGAACUGUCAAGCUAGAGUGCAGGAGAGGAAGGUAGAAUUCCCGGUGUAGCGGUGAAAUGCGUAGAGAUCGGGAGGAAUACCAGUGGCGAAGGCGGCCUUCUGGACUGACACUGACACUGAGGUGCGAAAGCGUGGGUAGCAAACAGGAUUAGAUACCCUAGUAGUC
rnacentral:rRNA from 1 species